AUGCGGAUCCGCCCACCACCGCCGCCGUCCGGUUUCUACCACGCCAUCCCACUGCCGCAGCUGCGGCUCCGGGGCUGCCGAGUUGGCGUGGUUGGGUUGAGGAUGCUGUGGCUGUGCAGGCCGCUGGGCGGGGUUCGCGUCCUUGCGAACGAUUGUCAGGAGCGCGGGGAGAAAAGGAAGAGGGCGGUGACUGGAAGGGGCUGCUUCCCGAUUUCAGUUCAAUGCAUCAAGUGCUGAGGAUCCUCUGUGUUCCAGCCACCAUGAAGCCAGCACUCCACACCCAAACACUGCUUGUGGCACAGAGCUCAAAAACAACAGGCUGGAACUUGAUGCCAGGGAAGUAAACACAGUUUGUUCAUUUAUAUAUAUGUUUCAAAAUGUCUUCAUUUCCCCACUGAUAGUGCCCAUUCUCUUUUAUGUACCAAAGUUAUAAUUUACUUCAAAUAGCUGAGUCCCUAAGAUUGGACUAAGGACUAUAGGGUGUAAAAAAAAAACAGGUAAAAAUUCUGGUUCCUGUCCAUCAGGACUUUAAAUUCUAAGAUAUAGAUGUAGUAGAAUUAACAUGACAGUAAAGUGCUAGAUUAUGUGAAGCAGAUCUAGAAGACUGUUGAGGACCUAAUGAUGUCAUAUGAGUUUCCUAUUAGAGCUGCAACAAAUUACCACCAAACUUGGUAGCUUAAAACAACACAAAUUUAUUACCUUACAGUUCUGGAGGUUUAGAAGACCAAAAUCAGUCUCAGUAGGCUAAAAUCAAGGUGUCAGCAGCAUUGGUUACUUUUGGAGGCUCUGAGGAAGAUUCCCAUUCCUUUCUUUUCCAGCUUCUAGAGGCUGCCUGUACCACUUGGCUCAUGGCUCCAGUCACAUUGCAUUUUCUCCCCUCUAUGACCAUUGCACAUUGCCUUUAAUCCUACUCUGUUCCUCCAGCCUCCCUCUUCAGAACCCUUGGGACUGAGUCCGCCUGCAUGACUAGAAUAAUCUGCACAUCUCAAGAUCCUUAAUUUAACCACAUCUUCAAAGUUCCUUUUGACAUGUAAGGAAACAUUCACAGAUUCUGGGGAAUUGAAAGUGGACACCUUUGAAGAGCUGCUAUUCAGCCAACCACAGAUAAGCACUUGUGUAGUGCACAACUGAAGUAACUAGGGGAAUUUUUGAAACUUAAUAGAGGAAAUGAACUUAAGCCAUACCCUGAAGGACAGGUCAAAUGUAAUAUGCAGAGAAAAACUAGUAAAACUUCCCAACAGAAAAAAAACAUAAGUAGGAAAAAUGUACUUCAGACUGAAGGAUCUAAAUAAGUUUGGCAAAAAACUGAUAUCCAGAAAGUUAAACACUGUAUGUAUUCAUAGCAAAAGGAAAAUAAGUUCAUUGGAUUUCAAGGAUCUUGAAAUCCAAAUGAAGAACAACAAAUAUAAAACUGCAAUAAAUACAUCAAAACCAUUUACCCACCUUUCAAUUUUGCUGUUUUCCUUAAAUUUGCUAUAUCGUUUAUUUUUGCUAACUGAAAGGGAGUGGGUAAGUAGGAGGUUUAAGUAAAAAAAAAAUUGUUAAGACACACAUAUUUUCUAUUCCUUUUAUUGAUUAGGGUGUCCUAUAUUUAGAAUGUGCUCAAAUUUGAUAAAAUCUACUCCUAGUUUGACCUACUUCUCUCACAGGAUUUGCUUUCCCAUUUCCCUUUCUCUCCAUCCUUGUCCAGAAGGAGAAGAAAGCAGGGGUGGGGGGCACAAAAAUAUCUGAGUGAAAAAGAUUUACAGACCAGGGGCUGCAGAGAAAAGGGAUCAGAAAAGGGAAGCUAUACAGGAGAAAGAUGUUAUAGCCCAUAUCAUUACACUUCUAGCAGAUUAAAGUGUUGAAAAUUUGAACACAUUCAUAUAGGUUGAUGUGCUUGCAAAAUAAUAGAGGAAGGAAAGGAACUGAAGGUAGAAAAUCAGAGAAGUUGGCAUACUAAAGAAAAAGUUUACCAUGGUUUUUGCCCAUGGUUAACCAACCCGAAAAGGUUUCUCAGGCAAUAUUAACCACUCUUCUUUUCUUGUGUUUACAUUAGAAAUAUUCUUUCAUGUUAGCAAAGUGCUAAAAUACUUCCACCCAAUGCAACUCUGCUACACUCUCUAUCAUUCCUUCCUUGCAUUAUGUAAAAAAAAAUUUUUACAUGGAUUAGUUCACCAACAUAUUUUUUUUAACUUGCUACCUAGAAGUUUGUGAAAUACAUGCAGAGGUCAAAGCAAUGGCUUUGGAAGUUUUUUAGUAGACUUUAUUUUUUAGAGCAUUUUUAGGUUCGUAGCAAAAUUGAGAGGUUACAGAGAUUUCCACAGGCAUAGUCUCUCCCAUUAUCAAAAUCCCUCACCAGAGUGGUACAUAUAUUAUAAUUGAUGAACCCAUACUGACACAUCUCCUAAACUCAGCAUUUAAUUAGCGCUCCCUCUUCGUGUUGUGUGUUCUAUGGGACUGGACAAACAUAUAAUGACAGGUAUCUACCACUAUAGUAUCAUACUGAGUAGUUUCACUGCCCUAAAAAUCCUCUUUACUCUGCCUUUUCAUCCCUCGCUCUCCCCUAAUCCCUGGCAAUCAGUUCUUUUUACUCUGUAGUUUUGGAUUUUCCAAAACGUCAUAUAUUUGGAAUUAUACAGACAUCUCACCAAAGAAGAUAUAUAGAUGGCAAACAAACAUGAAAAGAUGUUCCACAUAUGUGUCAUCAGAAAAUACAAAGGAAUUGGCUCCUUUUCAGAUUGGCUUCUUUCACUUAGUAAUAUGCAUUCAAGAUUCUUCCAUGUCUUUUUGUGGUUUGAUGGCUCAUUUCCUUUUGACAUAGAGUAAUAUUCCAUUGUCUAUAUGUACCAGCAUUUAUCGUUUCACUGCUAAAGGACCUCUUGGUUGCUUCCAAGUUUUGGCAAUUAUGACUAAAGCUGAUACACACAUCCAAGUGCAGGUUUUUAUGUAUACAUAAGUUUUCAACUCCUUUGGGUAAAUAUCCAUGAGCAAAACUGCUGAAUCCUAUGGUAAUACCAGAGUAUGUUUAUUUUUGUAAGAAACCACCAAUCUGUCUUCCAAAGUGGCUAUGCCAUUUUACAUUCUCACCAGCAAUGAAUGAAAGUUCUGGUGCUCAAUAUCCUCAAAAGCAUUUGGUAUUGUCACUUUUCUGGAUUUUGUCCUUCUAAUACUUGUGUAGUGGUAUCUCGUGGUUGCUUUAAUUUGUAUUUCCUGAUGACACAUAUGUGGAACAUCUUUUCAUAUGUUUGUUUGCCAUCUGUAUAUCUUCUUUGGUGAGAUGUCAUCAUCUUUGGCCCACUUUUUAAUCAGGUUGUUUGUUUUCCUGCUGAGUUUUAAGAGUUCUUUGUAUAUUUUGGGGAACAGUCCUUCAUCAUAUAAGUCUUUUUGCAAAUAACUUCUCCCAGUCUGUGGCUUGUCUUCUCAUUCUCUUGGUAAAACUUUAAAAAUGAAAACUUGAAGAGAAUGUAGAGGAAAGUGUGUAUCCAUGAAAAGAGGAGAAAGAAGUCUUCCACAAAGGCACCUAAUCAGUUUUGACAUUUUUAAGUAGGGGCACCUUUCUGAAGUAUGCAUCAGUGGAAAUAGCAAAGGAUUUGAUGUCAAAAGACAUGUUUCAAUCAUAGCUAAGGCAUUUAUUAGCUGUAUUAGGAUUUUUUGGUUGCAAAUGAAGAAGCUUAAACCUGCCUAAGCAAAAUAAGAAAUUUGUUGACUCACUGAACUUGAAAAUCUAAGAGUUGAUUUGGCUUCAGAGAUAGCUGUAUCUAUUUCCUCAAAUUGAAUCAGGAAUAUCUCUCUCUCUCUCUCUCUCUUGUUCUCCUUGGCUUCCCUCUGUAUUGACUUCAGUCCAGCAGCUCUCUCUGGAAAAUAGCUAUUUUUCAUGGUCCUUAAAGCUGCCAAGUAAAGCCAACUCACUCCUACAAUUCAUCUAUUUCUAUCUCUUAAAAAAAAAACUCAAAUUACUUGAAUCACAGGCCUACCUGUACACCAGUCUCUGCAUCCAGGGGAUAUAGAGGGUCCUGAGGGGCCAGUGUGGGUCACAUGUAACAGAGAGACUGAGCCCCUUACUGACAGGCCUGCUAGGAGCCACAGAAAAGCACAGAGGUAGUCCCUUAAAGGAAAAUCAGAGUCCUGUUAACAAAGGAGGAAGGAAAUUGGCCCAACCAAAGCAAAAGGUAUCAACACUAUCAGUUGCAAAAUUUUAGACAAGUCACUUAACCUCUUUGAGCCUCUGGUUUUUUCCAUCAGCAAAGAGGCAGGAGGAUGGUAAUACCAGACCCAUUACUUGACAUGGUUCUUGUGAGAGUCAAACACUCAAUAAAACAUAUGAAAAGGAUCUGUAAGCUGUAAAGCACUAUGACAAAUAAUAGCAGCCUCUAAAUGCCAGAAUAAAUAUUAUUUCUUUUACUAGUGCCUCAGUUACAGAUACUCACCAACCUUAAUUUUGUUUCUUAAAUAAGCUUUAGUUUUAGUCACCCUUCCUUAGAAGGAAAAGAAAAGAAUUUUAUCACACAGGCUGCCUCAUCUUUUGGUCGGGGAUGUGGAUGAAGAGAGCUCCUGUGACAGAUCACCUCAUGCGUGCUGCCCAGAAAAUUCCUGACUAGAGGGAUUUCUAGGGGUGGUAGGAACUGCAACUAAGUUAAGUAUUAAUCCCCAGUUUGGUGACUUGGCCCAGCAGAAGUGACUCCAUUUUGAGACUGUGGUUUUCUUUUUAUAAAAGACUAAAUGACUUAAAUGAGUAUCAGAGAGCUUGGCAGUUAUGUUUGAUCACGACUCACUUCUUAUGUACAAAUAAAAGUUUCUGUGAUGCCAAAAGUUCGAAUUUAAUGACUAUAGACAGCAUACAUUAUUCUAGUGCUCAGCUUUCCUUCUCAGAUUUACUUAAAUUAACUAGGAUAUAUUAAUCAUGCUUCAUUCAGAAUUGCUAAAAGUACUGUAUGCAUUAGCUUUCCAAAAUAGUCCUUAAAAUGUUCUCUUCGAAGUGUUUCUGUUGCUAAAUGUGAAUAAUUUCCAAAGAUUUUCCAGACCAGAUGGUGAGAUGAUAUAUAAAAAUUGAGUAUCUUUGCAAUGUGAUGAGGUCUACAAUACAGAAAGUUUCAGAGUCUCCAACUCCUUUUUCAAUUUAAAAAUUCCAGUGGAUGUCGUUAUUUUUAAAUUAUUGCCCUUACUCUUUGGCAAGUUUCUUGUCAACAUCUUUUGACGUAUUUUAUUAAAGUGCUGUCUUUGAAAUUAA